UGGCUCAGUUGGUAGAGCAUGGCACUUGCAAUGCCAGGGUUGUGGGUUCAGUUCCCAU
rnacentral:tRNA from 1 species